UACGAGAGGCCCAAACGUUAUUCGGAAUUACUGGGCUUAAAGAGUUCGCAGGCGGCAUUACAAGUAGGGUGUGAAAGCCCUCGGCUCAACCGAGGAAUUGCGCUCUAAACUGUCGUGCUAGAGGAACCUAGAGGUGAGCAGAACAGAUGGUGGAGCGGUGAAAUGCGUUGAUAUCAUCUGGAAUACCGGAGGCGAAGGCGGCUCACUGGGGGUUUUCUGACGCUGAGGAACGAAAGCCAGGGUAGCGAACGGG
rnacentral:rRNA from 1 species